rnacentral:lncRNA from 1 species
UUUGUCUUUAUAAGAAGAGGAAGAUCGACCAGAGCUCUCUCUCUCUUCUCUAGGCAUGUGCUCUGAGAAAAGGUCAUCUGAGGACAAAGUACCCGUCUGCAAGCCAGGAAGAGAGCCCUCGCCAGAAACUAAACCCCGCUGGAAACUUGAUUUUGCGCUUUCCAGCCUCUAGAAUUAAUAUGUGAAAAACAUUUAAAUCAGAAAGUAAAUGACAGGAUGAUUUGCAAGACACAGGGAUGUAAAAUUAAAAAGCCUCUCGAGCUCCAAAGAAGCAGAUUCUGCUUUGCUCUAUUUGUGAAAGACAACUGGAUGAGUAAAGAUUACUACUUGCAAGGAGACUAGCAAUUUAUCCGAAAUUGGAAACAGAGAAAACAGCAUCUUCUUUUCACUCAUUCUGACUCAAAAUGGGUGUAGCUCAUCAGAGUACAUCGUUACAUUUUCGGGACUUUUGCUACCUGGCUCACAUCACUUUGAUAGCUUGAACUCUGCCAUGAUUGGGAAUAUUUACACCACAAAAAUGGGCUAAUCUCCUAGGAAUGGAUUCUAGGACGGCAUCAGCAU